GAAGAUUUAUGGAGCACAAACUCCACUUUUGCAUGUAAGUUAAUACUUGUUAUUAAGUUAUAGAGAAUUCUACAAUUAGUAUUGAGAAUGAAAUGGACAAUGGUAUUUAUCCCCUAGUUACCGGAUUCAAUUUCCACAAAAGACAAAAACUCAUUAUUUCUCCUGAGUGGAAUGGAGCGAGAAAGUCGUGAUUAACAGUGUCAAUAACGGUAAGAGUUGGGCUAUUACAUUAAACAUGAAAGAUCAAGAAUAAAAGCUCUAAACCUUGUGUUCUAAGCUUGAAUCUUCAAAAUUUUGUUCUUUAGAUGUAAUAAUUUGUCUCAUUAGCCUUCAAAUAUGCCAUACCCCUCUUUUCAUAAAGUAAAAAUUUACUUAAAUGUCAAUCGACGAUGCCCGAAUCUCCAAAUUAAAUAUGAAAAUUUGAGUUCUCGUUUGGCGAGAUGAUUCCAUCGCGAUGCGAGGAUUGGCAGUGAUGAACACAAGUAAGAAAGUUGAUUAGUUUGUCUGACGAGCUGACGCCUUCGCUAGAUAAAUUCAUUUACUACAAUGCUUUGGACGGUAGUUUUAUCUAAAUGUGGACUUGGCCCCAAUUUUUGAUCUAUUUUUACGAUCUAUUUUUUACUCAUUAUUGUAUUUUUAUUAUUAAGUUUAAAUGCAUUUUUUAUUCUUCUAUUUGUUUUAGUCCCUCUCUUUUUAAAAUCAGUUUUUUGGUCCUCCUGUUAUAAAAUUCUUAGAAAUUUUUGGUCUCUCACUAAUUUUUAUUAUGUUACAUUAUAACUUGACAUUUAUGUGACAUUUGAUUUAGAUAAAAUAAUUUUUAUUUUAUUAUUGUUGUAAUUAAUUUUAUUUAUAUAUAAAAAAAUUAGAAUUUAAUUAAAAUUUAAAUAGAUUGUCUUGUGAUUACAAAAAAGAUACGAGGGUUAAUAAAAGAGGACAAAAUAAAUAACGUAUAAGACAAAUAUUUUUUUUAAAAGAACUGGGAAAAAACUUACCAUCACUUAAAAAAAAACACAAGAAUUUCAGUUAUAUUUUU
rnacentral:lncRNA from 1 species